rnacentral:rRNA from 1 species
AUUGAACGCUGGCGGCAUGCCUUACACAUGCAAGUCGAACGGUAACAGGUCUUCGGAUGCUGACGAGUGGCGAACGGGUGAGUAAUACAUCGGAACGUGCCCGAUCGUGGGGGAUAACGGAGCGAAAGCUUUGCUAAUACCGCAUACGAUCUACGGAUGAAAGCAGGGGACCGCAAGGCCUUGCGCGGACGGAGCGGCCGAUGGCAGAUUAGGUAGUUGGUGGGAUAAAAGCUUACCAAGCCGACGAUCUGUAGCUGGUCUGAGAGGACGACCAGCCACACUGGGACUGAGACACGGCCCAGACUCCUACGGGAGGCAGCAGUGGGGAAUUUUGGACAAUGGGCGAAAGCCUGAUCCAGCCAUGCCGCGUGCAGGAUGAAGGCCUUCGGGUUGUAAACUGCUUUUGUACGGAGGGAAAAAGACUCCUUCUAAUAAAGGGGGUCCG